rnacentral:rRNA from 1 species
UACGUAGGGUGCAAGCGUUGUCCGGAAUUAUUGGGCGUAAAGAGCUCGUAGGCGGUUUGUCGCGUCUGCCGUGAAAGUCCGGGGCUCAACUCCGGAUCUGCGGUGGGUACGGGCAGACUAGAGUGAUGUAGGGGAGACUGGAAUUCCUGGUGUAGCGGUGAAAUGCGCAGAUAUCAGGAGGAACACCGAUGGCGAAGGCGGUUCUCUGGGCAUGUCCUGACGCUGAGGAGCGAAAGCGUGGGGAGCGAACAGG